rnacentral:tRNA from 1 species
GAGGGCACAGCUCAGUGCUAGAGUGUGUGCUUAGCAUGCACGAGGUCCUGGGUUCAAUCCCCAGUACCUCCA